rnacentral:lncRNA from 1 species
ACAACUAAUGAGCACACUUAAAUACCAAGUUUUUAUUAAUCAAAACUUUUCUAGACAUACACUUUUACAUUCUCACACUAUCAUAAUACUAUUCUAAUGACAAUAAUAAUAAAAAAAUAUAAUCAUACGAACCAAUGACACUUAUACUACUAUUGAAUAUCAAAAUAAUAACACAAGUAUUUUCAACUAAAAUAAAAUAAAAAUAAGAAAAUAAUAAGUAAAGAAUGUAAAUUAUAUUAAAGAAAGAAAAAUUAC